AAAAAGAGAAAAGAUAAAAAAAGAAAAAUGAUAAAGAGAAAAGAAAAAAAGAAAAUAGAAAUAAAAAAGAGAACAGAAAAAUAUGAAAAAAAGAAAAAAGAAAAAAAGAAAAGAAAAAAACAGUAGAUGAAAAAGAAAAAACAAAAGGAAAAACGAAUAAUGACAAGAGAAGAAAGGUAAAGAGAAAAGAAGAAAAAAGCCAAGUCAAAAAGUAAAGAAUAACUCGAAGGAAGGAGUGGAUGGCAAGAAAUACAGAGAAAGCAGUGCAUAGCACAGCAGAGCAAAGCAAGGCAAAAUAGCAGCCAAAGCCACGAGAAUCAAGAAGUCAGUGAAGAGCAGGAAAGGAAUGGAGGAAUCUGUCCAGAGCUGUGCCCCUGCUUGCCACAGGAGCUGCGCGGGAGGAGAAGAACGUGGGCC
ensembl:lncRNA